rnacentral:lncRNA from 1 species
ACAUGGAAGUUCUUGGGCCAGGGACUGAAUCUGAACCACAGUUUUGACCUAUGCCACAGCUGCAGCAACCCAAACCACUGCAGUAGGAUUCUUAACCCACCAUGCUACAGCAUGUACCCCUAAAAAAGUAAAUUUUUUAUAUUAACUUUAGACUUAAUUUAUCAUUGGAAAACCAUUUGACUUACUACUUUUUUUUAGGUGUUUUUGCAAAAUUCAGUAAGCUAAAUCCCUGGACUUUAGCUCAGACACAAUCAGUUAAGUCAAUUAAGUUAAAAAGAAGACCUAUAAUUUCUCAGUAAGACUACUCAUUAUUUCAGCUUUCUUAUCUAUAAGAUGACAGUGAAUAUGUUUACCUGCUUGAAAGAGUUGCUAGAGGAAUUUCUGAUCGGUGUUUCAACAGUAACUUGUAAAGGUGAGGGAAUUGCAGAAUGGGGUCUGUUACCGUUUGAGACUGUCCUCCAGCUCAUCAUUUCCAGAAGAAGGAGAGCAUCUAAAUUGUCCCAUUGGGUUGUAUUUUGUGAUCCACUCAAUUUGCUCUUUCAUUUUUGUCCUACCUUUUUUUUUUCUCUUCUUUUUAGGCUGUACCUGCAGCAUAUGGAGGUUCCCAGGCUAGGGAUUAAAUUGGAGCUACAGCUGCUGGCCAUAGCCACAGCCAAAGUGAUGCAGGAUCCGAGCCACGUCUGUGACCUAAAACCACAGCUCAUGGCAAUCCUGGAUCCUUAACCCACUGAGUGAGGCCAGGGAUUGAACCUACAUCCUUAUGGAUACUAGUCAGGUUCGUUACCACUGAGACACACUAGGAAAUCCCUGCCUUGUUCCUUGUGAGGUUAGUUUGGAGCAUCACCAGCUUCCCACCAUCAAGCCCAGUUGACUUCUUCCUCUACCCCCAAACCCCACAUCCAACCCUUUGCCAAGUUGCUUCUGUCACCCCAAUGCCUCUCUCAUCUGUUCAUCUCCAAUCAUACAGUUCAUAGUAGCAGCUUGAACUGGAUUCAUUGGACCCACUCCUCAGAUCAUCCUCCCAGCUUCCUUUAUUUGGUUAAGUGUUACCUGAUUUUUAACACUCAGAUUAAAUUUGGCUUCUUUAUUAAAUCUGUGCUGAAAAUUCCCCUUGAGGAUUAUAGUACACUCUGCUUCAUAUUUAUAUUUUGUAUACCCUUCUUGUAACCUUCAUCAUAUCACAUUGUGCAAUGGACUCAAUGUUUGUAACCCCCACCCAAUUCACAUGUUGAAAUCCUUAGUCUCAAUAGGGUAGGAAGUGGCGCCUUUGGGGACUAUUAGGUUAUGAGUGUGGAGCCCUCAUGAAUGAGCGCAUGGAGAGAAGGCAGUGUCUACAACCAGAAGAGAACUCCUGCAGAACCUGACCGUGCUGGCACCCUGAUGUGCUCUGCUGCCGUCUGCUUUAUGAAGUGACCUACUGGGCACAGUUUAUUCUGAAGGGUUCCCGUGUGGAAAAGUGGAAAACCACACACGCUCAGAUGUUCGUGAUCUCCAGCUACAAGUCCAGAUGGGGGUGAGGCAGCUGCAUUCAGGCUUCCUGUUCUCCACCCAUUGCAUAAGAAACACAGGGGCCAGAGAAAUAUUAAAUGACACCAUGGAGAUGGAUCCAACUAACUGAAUCCAGAAGAAUGUAGUGAAAGUGAUGUUCUGGGAAUUCUGGAGCUGGAUUAUACGAAGCCUGACAGAUGCCCCACAAGGCCUCUUGGAACACUGUCUCUGGGAUUCCUGAGCCUCCGGAUGAGGAAACUGAGCCUUAGGAAGAUAGGCUGACUUGUCUAAGGGCACUCACCAGAAUUUGAAUCUGUCUUCAUCUAACUCCCAAUCAUCUUUGAUGCUCAGAGCUCCAAUGAUGUGGAAUGGUAGGAAAGGACUCUCAACAGAAAUAAUACAACCUAUAGAAGCUGUCCACAAUUUAAGGGAUGGGCUCUCCAUUGCCAAUAAUGCUAGCAAGCAGACUGAGCAGCUCAGUUCAUGCCCAGGCUUGGUCAGAAUGAGGGGCGUCUGGCAGAGAUGCUGAAGCUGGCUAUUUGUUAGGCACUCUGAGGCUAUUGUUGAACCUCACUGCAUCCAACUUCCCUGAGCUGCAAAUACUCAGCAUCUGGGCUGCUAAGAGCCUGAUAGUGCUGAGGGUAUCUGCUCCUCACCAAGAGGUUGAAUAUGGUAAUAAAGAAAUAUCAGUCAGGAGGACUGAUGUUAAUGAGAUGGUGGAACAAGUGGUCCUGGCUUCAGUCUCCUUCACAGAAAGACCUGAUGGCAACUGUGCACAAGAUGCCUCUGGGAAGAUUCCAAAUCCUAGGAGUAAGGCUGAAGCAUACGCUUGGAUCCAAGGUACAGAAACAAAGAAAAACUGCACUGGAAAGGUUGAGACCACGAUGUCGCUUUGCAUGGCCCCUCCCCUCUGCAGGCAUAGUUCUGUUCCUGGAGGGUUUCUCAGGGCCUAUAAUCUCUUCUGUGGGAUAAAGAGAGCUCAAGGUCAAAAUCCAGCUUCCCCAGCAUUCCAGGAUGCGUUCCAGGAGGGCCACUUCAGCCUUGCCUCACAGGAAUCACUGGGGGAGUCAAUGAGGGUAGACUAGUAGGGAUCAGCUAGAGACAGAGAAGGGGAUGAGGCUCACAGCAAAGAACAUGUGGGUCUUGGCCAAUUAUGUUCCUGCUGGUGAUGACACCUGAGCAGAGAGCCUGACCAGUGUCCUGCCUACCCACAGAGUGAGCUAGAGGCCCUGUCUGGCCGGGUUUUGUGGGCAGUUCUGCACAGUUUGGGUCCCCACCCAAGGGGCUGUCUGGCCGAAGAUCUUAUACGAUGACCCUACCCACCCUGGAUGCCAAGCCCCCAGUCCUGCCUGGCAAGAGCCUGGCAAGAGACCAUGAGCAGCCUCUGAGCCCAGUUUACUGCUCUGUUUGGGCAGGGAAGCAAGCCAUCAGUCCUACCUAGCAACAGAGCACAGCUUGUGGCCUUGUCCAACCAUGGAGGCUGGGCACCAAACCUGCCCAGUCUCAGAGCCUAAGGCCCAAGUCAAUUAUUGAGCAUAUUCAGUGGUCCAACCCAAUCAGGGAGCCAGCCCAACAUCAGAGCACAGCUAGUGGCCUGUCCAAUUGUGGAUUACAACCUGUGGCCCUGUCUCAUCAUAUAGUAAGCCAGCUGCAGUUUUUGAGGCUAGUAUUACCCCGAUACCAAAGCCAGAUAACAUUACAAGAAAAGGUAAUCAUAGGCCAAUACAUCUCUGAGGAAUACUGAAGAAAAAUCCUCAACAAAAUAUUAGCAAAUCAAAUUGAACAGUACAUUAAAAGGAUCAUACACUACAAUUAAGUGUUUUUUUCCCCCAGGGAUUCAAGCAUGUUUCAACCUAUGUAAACCAACUAAUGUAUGUAACAUUAAUAAAAUGAAGGAUUAAAA